UACGUAGGGGGCAAGCGUUGUCCGGAAUCAUUGGGCGUAAAGCGCGUGUAGGCGGCUCGGUAAGUCUGCUGUGAAAGUCCAGGGCUCAACCCUGGGAUGCCGGUGGAUACUGUCGAGCUCGAGUCCGGAAGAGGCGAGUGGAAUUCCUGGUGUAGCGGUGAAAUGCGCAGAUAUCAGGAGGAACACCGAUAGCGAAGGCAGCACUCUGGUACGUGACUGACGCUGAGACGCGAAAGCGUGGGGAGCAAACAGG
rnacentral:rRNA from 1 species